UCCGGACAAUCGCUCUCGGCUUCUCCCCCUGAAAUCAUCGCAAAAAUAGGAUGCAUUCCUUCGGAUACAGAGCCAAUGCUCUGCUUACUCUAGCAGUCACCAUUCUUGCUAUUAUCUGCGCUGCUGCUUCUUUCUCUGGUGAUCAAUAUCCAAAGGCUCCACAAAUUUUCCAAUGGCAAUGACGAUGUAAUUUUUCGAUUAGGGUUCUUUUCUUUCUCGAUUCGUCAUUAUUUGAUGGGAAUUGAGAUGUAAUUACUAUCUAAGCAUUUGGAUUACUCCGAGUGUUGGCUGAUAAUGUUAGUUUGUUUAAGAAUUCGAUGAAGCGUUUAGUAGGAUCAUCUUUUAAUGGAAAACUUUACGCUAUUGCGACGAAGAAGGUUCUAGAAGUUUAUGAGUUGCGAUAAGCAUCCGUAAAAGGGUGGAGGGAUACCUGUUAACAUUGAAAUGAAUUUUCGGAAAAUAAGGAUGGGUGUUUUGAGAUUGGCGGAUAGAUAAAUUUGCAUUGAAUCAAUAAACCCUAAUCUUCUUCUAAUGUUGAAAGGUAGAAGUAUCCGUUAAUCCCAAUUUGAUCUUUUAAUAAACUUUAGUUAAUCUUCCAUGGAUGAUGUAUACAUUCCAAGUUUCCAAAAUCAAAAAUCUUUAAACACCAUGAUUAAUCCUAGGCCUAGAAUAAUAACAAAAAACGAUGAUCAGGGAUAAAAGAGACUGGGCAAAUCUUCCAUUAAAAGCCCUUCGAUCAAUCUCAGACAUCUACAAAACCAUAAUAACUACAACACCCUAUAUAGUUUACAAUCCAUCUGCAAGAAUUGACAGCAAUCAGACUCCAAAUCUGCAAUCUUUCCUCGCCAUAUUAGACUCUAUGUCGGCAAUCUUUCCUCGCCAUAUUACCUAAUCAGAUCGAGUAAUGUAUUCAUUAGGCGUAUAUCUAAUCCAUCCUAAACAACAUCAUUCAUCCCCAAUCAUUGAUGAUGUUCCUUUUCUAGUUAGUAUCGUCCAUCUUUCCAGUGGCAAAAUUCAUCGAUGCAAGUUUACAUGCGGGUUAUUCGUGAGCAAGUUUUAUAAUUUCUUUGUUAAGGCUUUUGAGAUUCCUUGUUGCAAUUUGAGUAGUCGUAUAGUCUUCUCUAGUAAUGUUUUUCUUGAUUAUAAUGAAUGGUGAAAAUGAUUGAUCUAAUAUUCACAAAAAAUAAGUUUUUGUUUACAAGCUUGGACAAGAUUACAAUGACAUCCAACUUAUUUCGUUGUCUCUGGAUUAUCUGUUAAGCUUUGGACAAUAACAUCAUGGAUUUAUAAGUAUUAUCAUGCAGCAAUGGAAUUGUUCAAAGCUUAAUUCUUUAACGAAAUGGUUCUCGUUGCUGCAUGAUAAUCCUCAUAAAUCCAUGAUGAUAUUGUCCAAAGCUUAACAUGAAAUCCGGAUAUGUUGAAAUAAGUUGAAUGUUAUUGUAAUGUUGUCCAAGCUUGUAAACAAAACUUCUUUUCGAUAAACAUUAGACCAACCAUUUCCACCAUUCCAAAUAUAAUUAGGAAAAACAUUACUACAGAAGACUAUACAAUUACUCAAAAUUCAACAAGGAAUCUCAGAUAUCCUAACAAAAAGAUUAUAAAACUUGAUCACAAAUACCCUGCAUCGAUGAAUUUUGCCGUUGGAGAGAUGUACGAUAUUGACUAGGAAAGGAAGAUCAUCGGUGGCUGAGGAUGAAUGAUGUUGUUUAGGAUGGAUUAGAUAUACGCUUGAUGAAUACAUUACUCGAUUUGAUUAGGUAAUAUGUCGAGGAUAGAUUGCAAAGAUGGAGUUUGAUUGCCGCCAAUUCUUGCAAAUGGAUUGUAAACUGCAUAAGGUGUUGCGGUCAUUAUGGUUUGCAGAUGUUCUGAAAUUGAUCGAAGGACUUUUAAUGGAAGAUUUGCCCAAUUUCUUUUAUCCCCUGAUCAUUGUUUUUUGUUAUUAUUCUAGGCCUAAGCUUGAUCAUGGUGUUUGACGAUUUUGAUAUUGGAAACUUGAAAUGGAUAAAUCUUCCAUUGAAGAUUAGCUAGGGUUUAUUGAAUGAUCGAAUUAGGAUUAACAAAUGCUUUUACCUUUCAACAGAAAAAGACGAUUAGGGUUUAUUGAUUCAAUGCAAAUUCAUCUAUUCGACCCAAUCUUCGGAACAUCCAUCGUUUAUUUUCCGAAAAUUCAUUUUCAUGUUUACAAAUUUCCGUUCACCCUUUUAACGGAAGCAAGCUUAUCAUGGUCGCAUCUACAUGGGAGCUGAAGACGUGUCUGAAAAUUUUGAACUUCUAUCUUCCCUAUAGUUUGCAGCAAUGUCUCGUUCCCACUAUUCCUUGUUUGAAUAAGUGUUUGUUUUUGGCUUUGAUACCAUGAUAAAUUUGUUAACAGACUUGUAGACAACAAGACCCGCAUAAGAGGAGAGUUGGCUGCACAUAAACCCAAUGAGGUUCCAUCCUAAAACCAAUUGGUAUUAGGAGGAGUAGCUCAUCAAGUAUAUAUAUUAGUUAACUCUUUAAUUCUUCGAUGUGGGAUGACAAUUACUUGUUCUUUUUGUCUUCAUAUCUUUAAUUACUUCACCCGGAUGUUUGAAAUGCAUGUUAGGGUUUUCAUUUUCAUAUUUCAAACUGUUGUCCUGUAGAUACUGCUAUAGUAUUGUGCACUAUCUGUGCAAUUACGUUAUGCAAGUAUUUUAGGGAAAAACUGUAAAGCUAUUGCAGGAUUUUGGAUUGAAUUUGAGCAAUCAUGGGUUCAUAUCAUUUUUAAAAAGGAAAAUUAGAUGAAUGGUACCUCCAAAUUUUUAUUUUUCUUUUUUAGUUGACAACAUGUUCUUUUAUAUAGAUAUGAACUACCUAUGUAUGCUUUUGAGCUGGAUUUUAAGUCUAGUUUGGUUACUUUAAUAGUUUGACUAAGUGCACAUGAUUUAAGGAUACAUGUUGAACACAUUUGUAGUCCAACUGAUAUCUUUUCACAAUGAGUCAUGGAAUGGAAAAGUUGAAUCAUAUGAAACUAGGUACUUUUUUAUUUAUGAAACUUAAGGGCUCUUGUGAAACAAAUGUUGUUUAUCCUUAAGUUCGUACUUUUUUUAGUAGUAGCGUUGGUUUUGUCUUGUUAUUAUUCCUGGAAAUAAUUACAAGAUUAUUGUUGUGUCUAUGACUAUGCACAAUGUUUAUGGUCUACCACCUUCAGUUUCCCAUUCUUCUUAGUGUAAUUUCAUUUAAUUGAGGAAAGGAUGGACAUUUUAAAUAUCUUAUAAGAUCAAUGUCCAAAUAAAAUUAUUUCUGUGAACUAUGGAUUUUUGAUGAGAAUACACUUAUUUGUGUGUAAUUAAUUCUGCUCUGUAAUGCUCUCAUUGUUUUCCUUUAAUGUUUUAUUUGUAGGCUUUUUUUGUUGCUAGAAUUAUGGUGUUUUACCUUUACUUUAGUGACAACUCUCCUUUGAAUAUACUUACCGUGGUGCAGCUUGCGAUGGUGUUGAAUAUUUCUGCAGGUCUCCAGUCACUGUUUACAUGGAAUACAAAACAGGUUCAUUGUAUCAUGCUUUAGAAGAAAUUGUUAUGAUAUUUUCCAGCCAUGAGCUGUUGUAUAUUUCAGUAGUUUGAAUACCUACCUAUAGAAAACUGAUACUUAUUGCAUAGAGGUUAGUUUUAUUGUUAUUGGAUGUAUAUUUGUUUGCCACACGUCAUGUGCUAGCUUGUGAACUAAGUACCAUCGCCUAUAACGUAGACCAGGCUUAGCCUUAUAUGCUUUUGUUAAAUCUGUAACAAGUAAGAAGGGAAUAAUGUUUAUGUAUGCACUAGUUCCAUAGGGAAGUGGACUUGAAUGGAUGUUCAAGUACAACAUUGUUAUUUACAAGGGUGUAGUGAAAAGACUCAAUACUUUUUGACACCCUAUUUAUUUUGCAUUUUUCUUGAAGUUUUGAGACCUAAAAAUAAAUAGUUAAAACUAAUCAAGAAAUGUAAAGUCAUAUUUGAGGCCCCUUAAUUUAAGAGAUCGGUUGCGCAUCUUGCACAUACCUUGCUCCACUCCUAUUAUUCAUCUGAUAUGAAAUCAUUUGCCCUUAUGAUGUACUUCUAUAUUUAUCAUCAGAGACAGAGAAUAGAGAAGGCAAAAGAAGACAACUAAUUCCAAUGUUUCAAGUGAAUAAACAACUCUUCUUUGUUGUAUGCCAUAUGAUUUGUGCCUAGCUGCGUGUAUGGGAGUUAUGCAAACAAUCUCCCAUUUUUGGUGUUUGCAUUUGUUGCUGCGGAGUAUGAAACAGAUAAAAAUGCACUGAAUCAGGUGAUUUUACACUGCUAUCCUGCAUAAGAAUAUCCUUCUAGAUUCUUUAAUAAUCAGUAGGUUGUUUCCUUUUUUUUUUUUUUUGUAUUCAUAAAAAAUUCCACUAAACUACCAGUAACAACAUAUUAUUACUUCAAUGUCAUUAAGAGCAUGGACAUCAAUUUACCUUCCCAUAUACUUGGUUCAUUUUAUCUCUCCUUUCCUUCUAUUGCCACAUCAUUUGUCACUAACUUUUCCAAUCUACCUCCCUAUGUUUAUUUUACAAUUUCCAAUUUUUACCUUCUCGUAUACUAUUUAACUUUCUUACUCAUACUUUUCUAUAGAGGACGUAUAGUUAUAAAGCAGAUAUUUGAGAGAGUAGUAAAUCACCCUUAUGUGUUCCCAAUUUAUAUGAGGAUUUUUGAGAUUUUAUUUUAUAUUUUUCUUUUUUUGUUUAUUUUUAUUAUGUAUUUUGUCUUUUUUUUAUUUAUUUGCAAAUAACCGUUAUUGUUGGAUUUUCUAUUUUCAUACCCAUCACAUUUUCUCUCUCUCUUAUCUCAAAUUAUUUUGUCAAACCUUUUUUUAUAUCCAUGGACCAAUUACUUUUAUUUUAUUAACCUAAUGAAUCGUAAUUGUUGGAACUUAAGUAAUUAGUCGAUAUUAGCCUUAAUUGCUACAAAAGUUAUUAUCAAAACAUUUAAUUUAAUAAUGCAUUACAAUUUCUUCAUUAGUCAUAAAUAUAUCCGUACAUUAUCUUUAAUUGAAAAGAAAUUAUACACCACGCAAAAUAAUUAACCUAAAUACAUAUUAUUCAAUUAACUAUAAAUUAAUCAUCAACCUACCACCACACUUUUGCCAAAUAUGUUGUACUAGGUCUCUCUAUAGUGCAUUAUGGACAUUUUAACCCUAAACUUAUUGUCUUUAUUCCAUGUAUUGCUGCAAACCUAGAUUAUUAAAUAUACCAACUCUCACUUUGUAAGUGAUAAUGUUUGAAGAUGUUUUAGCAUCAACAUAUUAAAGGUUAUCCUCCUCGAAGGCUCUCACAUGACACAUCAUUCUCAUAAUAUCGCGUUCAUCCUUGAAGAUCAUAUUAUGGAGAAUAAUACAUGCCUACAUUAUCUUCCGCAUUAGCUUCUCUUUCCAAACAAGAGAUAGUCUUUGUAUAAUUGCAAAACAUGCUUGUAGAAACAAAGGCUCGUUCAACAUCUUUAGUGACCGAUUCUUGACUUCUUUUGAAGAAUGAUUCUGGUUCGCUAAGUGGGAGUCAAACACAACUCACUUUGGAUAUAUUCCAUCUAUGAGGAAGUAACCCUUAUUGUUAUAAAUGGUAUCAUGUGUGACUUGAGUGCACAAUUGAAGUGUGUAUUCAUGUGUGUAACUCUUGAGUUGUGGAAUCCAAAAGGGUGUGAUUAUGUGGAAGAGUAUUCAUGUGAAUUAUUGGUGUUAAUGAAGAUUAAUGAAGAAGUACAAAGGACUUGGUUUAUGAUUGCUCGAUCAGAAUUCUGGCAGAGGAAACAGAAUGGUUGCUCGACCUACCCACUUGACCGAGCGAGCCUUAUUUGUUGGUCGAGCGGUCAGACAGAAUGCAUCCAGAAGGUAUCUGCUACUCGCUCGACCGAGCGAGCUCUCUGUUCUAGUCGAGCGGUUUCUCUGAUGCGCAUGGAAUGCUGUUUUUCGACCUUUCAAGUUCUUGGAGUUAUUUCAUAUUAUUCAUUACUCUAUAUUAACUCUGUAUUCAAGUGAGCUAUUGACAUUCAUGUACCUAGUACUAUAUAUAGAGCUCUCAUACUCACUCAAAUAUACAUCAAACACAACCCCUAAGCCAAACACAUAGCCUUUUGUUUUUAUCUCUUACACAAUUGUAAUACUUCAUUUGUAAGUGUUGUUUAUACUUCUUUGAUAUAAUAUAAACAGAAACUACACACCACGGAGGACGUAGUCAUCAUUGGGUGAGCCUCCUUAAAUCUUUGUGUCACCUUUUUCUUAGUUUACAUUAUCAAACAUUGUUUUGUUUAUUGUUGUUUGUAUCGUUCUUAACAUCGUAACGAUUUUAGCAAACAUUUCACUUAUUGUAUGCUUAAGUUAAAUGUCACCUUUGGAGCUUUGCCUUGAUAAAUGUCAUCAAACAAUAGUUUGAACAUUGAUGUCAUUACCAUCUGGAUUUUUCAAUCCUCUUUCAUAUUGGUUAAUGUGCUCUUAAACUUAUCUAAUUGCAAUGCAGCUCCCUUGAGAUUUCUUUGUGCUUCACUUUCUUCACGCCAUCAAGACGUGAGCCUCACUUAACCCCUUUGAACUACCAGCACUCAAAUUGGGAGUAUAUUUUCUCAUAUUCCACCGAGUUGAAUUUUCUCUCAAGGGGCUCAAGUGCUCAACAUAAUGAUGAAAAUUGAAAUUCUUACGACAUACAUCAAAGAACAACUAAUUGGCCUUAUCAUCAAUGUCGGUGAUAUACGUACCACUUUCUCACAAACUUUCUACCUCACCAUACAACAAAAUCUAUAAAGUGAUGUCCGUAUUGAUGUUAGUCCAACAAAGUUUCAAAGAUUUCGUAGGCCUCUACAUCAUAUGUUUGCUUGAUCUUCUUAUACAAGAUAGGCUUUUUUGAUCGAUGCUGUUUAUUACAUCACCUCCCCAAUUUAAGACACUUGAUAAUAGAGCUAAAUCUUCAGCAUUCGUCCAUCUUUCUUUCGUUACCUUUCCUUUUUCUAUCUUGAUGAAUCUCCUUGAACUUCAUCAUCAUUAGCAAUAAUUUCUUGAGUAGGAAUAACCUCCUUGACUUGUGAUCUAUUGCUACUACCAUCCCCUGAUGUGGUUGGAGAGUGAUCCAUAUGUUGUGAAUUUGGACAGCUUGGCACCAAUGUGGGAGGGUAUUGAGUUUGUGGAAAAAUUUGUUGAUAAUUUUGGUAAUUUGGAUUUUGGGCAAGAUAUGUUUGGACCAUGGCUUGAAAUUGAGGAGUACUAAAAAAAUGAUCCAUUUGGGGGCAGUUAGUAGAACUUGGAUUUUGAUUAUUAUUGAGAUUUUUGUUGGGAGGUUGGAUUUGGUGAUAAUUUCUAAAACUUGGGUUUUCUUGGGAGCUUGAAUUUGUUGGGUAAGUUGGAUUUUGCCAAUUUUCAUAAUUAGGAUUAUUGCUAUCCAUAAUUAUUAUUGAAAAAUAUAUUAUUAGGGAAUAAUUAGAAGAUCAUGAGAGAUAAGUGUAAAAUAUGCAGUUUGUUAAAAUGGAGAAAGUAUAGCGAUAUUAGUAUCUAUUUGUAGAUGAUGAAAGAUAUAAACAUCAACAUGAUUUUUUUUUUUGAGUUGUAUUUUUUUUUCAGAAAUUGAGAAAAAUAAUUUCUUAAUGAUUUCACAAUCCUUUA